UACGUUCCCGGGUCUUGUACACACCGCCCGUCACACCACGAAAGCCCGCUGCAACAGAAGUACCUGGCUUGCCAGGUCCGAAGUUGUGGUUGGUGAUUGGGGUG
rnacentral:rRNA from 1 species